rnacentral:rRNA from 1 species
UUCGAUUCUGGCUCAGGAUGAACGCUGGCGGCGUGCGUAACACAUGCAAGUCGAACGAUGAACCUCACUUGUGGGGGGAUUAGUGGCGAACGGGUGAGUAACACGUGAGUAACCUGCCCUUGACUCUGGGAUAAGCCUGGGAAACCGGGUCUAAUACUGGAUACGACCUUCUGGCGCAUGCCAUGUUGGUGGAAAGCUUUUGUGGUUUUGGAUGGACUCGCGGCCUAUCAGCUUGUUGGUGGGGUAAUGGCCUACCAAGGCGACGACGGGUAGCCGGCCUGAGAGGGUGACCGGCCACACUGGGACUGAGACACGGCCCAGACUCCUACGGGAGGCAGCAGUGGGGAAUAUUGGGCAAUGGGCGAAAAGCCUGACCCAGCGACGCCGCGUGAAGGAUGAAGGUCUUCGGAUUGUAAACUUCUUUGAUCAGGGAAGAAAGAAAUGACGGUACCUGAAAACAAGCCACGGCUAACUACGUGCCAGCCGCGGC